rnacentral:rRNA from 1 species
UACGGCGGUCAUAGCAGAGGGGAAACGCCCGGCUCCAUUCCGAACCCGGAAGCUAAGCCCUCAUGCGCCGAUGGUACUGCGUGGGAAGCUGCGUGGGAGAGUAGGUGCCGCCGGAC